rnacentral:lncRNA from 1 species
AGGGGCAAAAUUGUAAUUUUAUCAAAACCCCGAUUUGAAAGUAUCAAAUGAUAGAACAAAAGAUUUGUGAUCCACUGGUAAAAAUUUUAUUGAUUUUGGACUUGUAUUUUGAAAGAUAUGCAUGAUUAAAAAUCAUGAGUCGACCCAUGAGUCGACUCAUGGCACAUGAGAUGACUGGCACGCUGAAAUUUCUAGCCGACAC